UUUUGUUUUUACAGACAUAUAUUUUCAGUUAUCUUGGAUAUACCUAGGAGUGAAAUUGCUGGGCCAUAGGGUGUGGUAAAAGGAAUAAUACCCCCAUGAAGUUGUCCAUAUCUUAAUUCUUUGAACCUGUGAAUAAGUUAUGUGUUGUGGCAAAGGGAAAUUAAGUUUGCAGAUGGAAUUAAGGUUGCUAACCAGCUGACUUUAAGAAAAGGAGAUUAUCCUGGAUUAAGGUGGUGGGCCCACUGUAAUUGCAGGAGUUCUCAAAAGUGAGAGAUGGAGGCAGCGUGAGCGUGUCUGAGGGAGAUUUGACUAUGGGCGAAUAGUCAAGGAGAUGCGGAGCUGCUGCAUUUGAAGUUGGAGGAGGGGAGCACAAGCCAAACAAUGUAGGCAGCCUCUAGAAACAGGAAAAGGCAAGGAAAUGGAUUCUUGCUUAGAGCCUCUGGAUGGAAUACAGCCCUGCCCACACCUUGAUUUUAGCCCAGGGAGACUGACAUCAGACUUUAACCUCCAGAACAGUAAGAUAAUAGAUGUGUGUUGUUUUAAGCCACUAAGUCUUAAGUGUUUUGGUCAACCUCUUGUUAACACCAACUAGUAAUGUCACUGGUGCAGCUGUGAUAUCAAAUGCUUAUGGCUAAUUGUUUUUUCCAAAUACCUUGUGGGUAGGGCUCUUAGCACAGAGCUAGCUUUGGUCAGGCCAAGCAAAGGCGAGCUCUGAGAACGGAACUAUUCAGCGAGCUUUCAGACAGUUGAACAGUGAUACUUCCCCAGGGAAGGGCUUUUGGGGCAGUCCAACCUGUUCUUCCCCGUCCAGUGUCUCGUAGGCUGCUGGUUGUCACAGCUGCUAUAGUUGCGAAGCUCUUGGCUUUCAAGAGCUGGGGAGAGGAUGAUCGUAUUAGGGCAAUUUAAAAUGCCAGAGGCUCUCUGUUCUUACUAGAUUCAGCCAUUUUUCUUGAAUAAACACUCCUUUGAUUGUCAAAAGCUCAUGUUCUGAAAGUGUAGAUUUUAGCGAUUUUUGCCAGCAUUCUCAUUGCUUUUUAGAGGAGGGAUUUUCAGAGGCCCUUCCCCUACCAUCUGGAAGUUGAGCCCAUCUUUUGCUGAAUUUCUACCCUGGAGAGCUGGCAGAUCAAGGCUGGGACUCAAGCCCAGCCCCUUCACGCUUAUAUUUUUCUCAAGGUGGAUCUGAGCAGCCUACCUCCGAGCUCUGUUUCCAGGAGUCCCACCCAGGUCUCAUUUACUGCUCUGGAUCUCAUUGUUGCCACGCUGCUUCCUUCCCCAGAGGCUACAGCAUAAAUGGCAUAGCUGCCUGCUGUAAAGCACCUUCCCUGGCCACAGCUGGGUCUCGCUGGUCUCUGAGGAUGAUGAAGCUUUGGGAGGGUGGGUGCAUUAGCUCUUUUGGAAGGAGUCCUUACAAAUCUCGUCUUGACACUGCCUUGGGGUCUAAGAUUUUCCAGGAAGCCUUUUUCUGCCAGCUCCCACGCUGUUCUGUUAAGCAGCCGUACCUGACCUAUGCUCUUCGAGCCAGAAAAACUGGCUCUAGUCCUGGAUUUGAUAUCCACUGUUUUUUUGAUGUUAGACACGUUAUCGCAUUUAUCAGAAACUAAUUAUCAAGUGGUGAUAAACUAACUACAUCACAAGACUCUUUGGGUAUUACAUACGAUAAUUUAUUGGAAAGUACCUUCUGUAGUCUCCAUCUUAUUUAACCAAACAGUUUUAGACUCUAGGAAUUGACACACGUCAAUAUUCAUUUUUCUAGAGCUAUUUUUCUUCAACUGUUGUUCUUGAGUUUUCUCUAAAGAUUAUUACCAGUUUUGUUAAAAAAGUAUUUUUGUGAUAAGGUUGAAGAUAAUUUUUCAAAAUUAAUCUCAGUCUGUUCUAGAUUAUUUGGAGGACUACUUUAUAACCGCACACCCCAAGCAAUUUUCUUCCUCAUCUGUGGGUGGUUUUUAUUGUAUCGUCAUCAACUAGUGUUACCUUUAUUGUGGGGGAAAAAAACGGAGUAGAACUUAAUAUGGAAAUGAUGUGUUUAUUUCAAAUAAGAAUUAAACGACACCACAACUCACAAUAAUAAGUUGAAUAGAGGCAAAUGUUAAAAGAAUUAAAUUAUUAAAUCACACCAAAAUGAUAAAGACAGAACACACACAUACACACACACACACACACACACACUUCGCCAAAGCAGCCAUCACUAUACUUGCUUUUAAUAGCACUUUUAGUUUCAGCAAAAUGAUAUCAACUGACAUGUGAAUCUGAUGUUGAUCAUUUGGAGUAUAAUGCUUUUAUAGUUUUGUUUGUGAUUAGCUUGUAAAUAUUUUUAGAUUUUAUACUAGUAUAAGAGCUGUAAGCAUAAGGUGAUUAUAUGUAUGCAUAUUUAAGUUAUAGCAUCAUGAAAUUAUCCAGCCAACACUAGGGGGUCCAUGGGAAAGUUUUUCUUGCAGAUGGAAUCUGUACAUUGCUCAAUUGCUCUGGCUUACGGAAACCAGGGAAAGCUCUCAGGGAGCCCUCAGAAAGAGUUUAUAGGCCAGCUGAAGGCAUCUCUUUAGGCCACAAUGAUAAAAUGAAGAGAUAAAGGAGACUUUCUCACCAUGAAGGAUAGAAAGCCUCACUUUACCAAAAGACUCAAACUUUGGGGGCAGAAACUAAUUAAAAAUAAGGAAGAGAAGGUGGUUGACUGGGAAAGAAAUAAGUAAAAUAAGAUAAUAUUUUGGGAGCCCACUUUCAGAAGUGUGGACCUGGGAGAAGGAAGGCCUAAUUUAAAAUUCUAUUUCUACCCCAUAUCACUCAAUAUAUCCCUUGGGCUGCAUAUGGGAUACUUAAUAUUCCUGAGCCUCAGUUUUUUCAAUUUUAAAUGCCUCUUUCACAAAUUUGUUAUGUAGGUUAAAUAAAAUUAUAAGAGUGAAAGUGCUUUGUGAACCACAAAGUCCUGUGUGUAUGCUAGGGAUGCUCCUGCAUUCAUUUUGUUAGAUGUUCAUAAAGGGUCCCUGGAAAUUUUUCUAAUUCUUUACAAUUGAAUAUCUCAGCAAGAAGAUAAAACACCCUACAAAGUUCCAGGUCUGUAAAAUAAGCAAUUCUUCUAUCUAAUCUAGACUGAGAGCAGAGCAAAUGCAGAGUUGACGUAUUCUACAAAACCUUAGGGAGAUGAGUUUAGGCCAGAUCUCUAACUGAUAGGGGAUUUUGAUUUUUUUCAAUAGGUUUUUUUUGUUGCUGUUAAUCAUAAAGUUCCUCUUAUAGAUUAAAAAAAAUCACAUUACUCAUAUUUGUGCACACACAUGUUCGUACACGCGUCCACCCACAGAAACAACCGGGUCCAUCCAUGUAUUCACAUUUCCGCAGAGAUCCAUGCAAUCCUGUGCUCACACGUGUACCGGCUACCUGCACACACAUGCUUGGCUUGCUCUUGAAUGCACUCAAUUCUCAUUGGCCAUAGUGAUCCAGAGUCUCUCCUGAGUCAGUUUCCAGCCUGCUUUACCAGUGAGAGGCAAAAAUGUCCUGAUUUCCCCGUCUCACAGCAUUUAUCUCAACCAGGGAUGCCCUAGCAUCCUAUUCUUUAGAUCAUCCUUAGAAAGCAUUUUGGAAGCCACAAAAGUAGGUUUCAAAGUCAGUCAUGUUUAGAUUUGAAUUAUGACCUUGGGCAAGUGACUUGCUCUUUCUGAGCCUCAGUUUCCUAGAUUGUAAAAUGGAGAUAGUGAAGACUCCUCAUAGGCAUGAGAGCAUUAAGUGUAGUGAUGUAUGAGUUUCCUCUAAGCCUUUUAGUUCUAUUUGAAAGCGAUGUUUUGGGAAUGGUACAUAUAUGUGGAUAGCAAGAGUCAUAGAAAUCUUAAAGUCAGGGAUAGAUCCUCACGGAGACCAGUGCAGGAAGAGUCCUCCUCCAAAAUGGCCCAGGACCCUCAGCCAGAGAAACUCAUGGAUCUUCUCAAUGCUCAUUGGCUCCCCUUCCUGAACAUCUUCUCAGUUCUCAUCUCUCUAGCAUGAAACUUCCUUUGCUUGCCCCAAUUUACUACUUUCUCCUGAUUUCCUAUGGCCUCACUGGACAUGGCUUUACCUAAAGUCAUCCUCUCAGCUUCUGACCCCAUUAUAAUGGCCACCAUCUCUGCGUGUUGCCAAAUUCAGCAUUUGUUACAGAGGAAUUUGUUGUCAAGACUCAUCUUUUUCACACUGGGUCAUAUGAAUUUACCUUUGAAGUCCCAAAAAUCUAGCUGAUAAAAAUCUAGCUCCAACAUUUAUUAACUCUGUGACCUUAAGAAAGUUGCUAAACUCUCAGAAUCUCAAUUUUCUCAUAGUCAUAUAGGGAUAAGUAUGGUUCUCACCCUCAUCGGAUUGUUGUGAGGAGUAAAUCAGAUGAUGUUUGGCAAGUGCUUAGUCUAGUACAUGGUAUAUAUUGAGCCAUAACGAAAUGCUAACUACUAUGAGUGUCAGUUCUGGCCAUAGACCAGAGUUCAACCUAAGAAUGGGUUGUCUUUUUGUUAAGUGCUCACCCUUGGCCCAUCAGGCACAGCCACUGGACAGCAGAGGCUAUGGGUUGUCCCCUUAGAUAACAGUGUCAGCAGGCCGAGCUUUCUGUAACUACAUCUACUCAAGAGAUUACGGGAUACGUUUUCCUUUAAUUCUACAUAAAGUUAAACGAUAAUGCAAUAAAAUCAAUAUAUGCAUGUAUGACUGUCAAAUAGUUUUGGAAAAAUCCAUUAAUAUUCAAAAACUAAAAACUUCUUUUUGCCUUGCAUAUUCACUGCCAACAGAAAAUAAAAGAGCCGUCUGAGAAAUACUAAGAAGAAGACAUUCACAGAGUGUUCUGGAUCUUUUAUCCAAACCUGGGGACUGAGUGGGAGAGAGUGGAGCUUCGUAGAGGUGAACACAUGGGCUUUGAAGAGCACGGAGGUCUUAUCUGGGACUGCUCUGAACCUGAGGGUUGCCAGUGCUGUGUAGUCAGCGGCAGGUGGAGGAACGCCUCCCUGAGCUGGGGUUUACAGUUUAACAAGUGGCCCAGAGCACUUGUGCUCAGCUCUUAAUGUGAACUUAUCAGACAAGUAUGCUUUUAUUCUUUGGAAAAGCAAAAAUGGAGAGAUACAGAAGCAAAAAGAGAAUAAUUUAACAACCAUCUGUGUACCUGCCAUUUGUAAUUAACAGAGGAGAAAGGUUGGGCUCAGGAAGCAAGAGUUACUUUCCCAGGAUCACACAGCAUGUACAUGGCUAAACGGGAAUUGAUAGCCCGCUCAUGUUCCUCCAGGACCAGGGCCUGUAAUCAGUAAGUUCUCUUAUGUCAGCAGGUAAGCAGUAUUUUUCAUUUUUAAAUCAAUGGUGUUUCUUAGCUGCAUAGCUACUGAUUUGGUCACAGAGUUGGAGAGGGCAUUGCAUUGUUUUCAGCAAUUAUUAACUUAGGAACUAUAACUUGAAAUGAGGCUUGUUCAGGUCAGAGACAUGAUUAGUAACAGAAUGCUAGCCCUUAUCUACCAGUGAUUGUGAAUCCUGCUUGGGUACAAGGUCCUCUGCUCUAUCGGGCCUUGAAGGGAAGAAUGCUUGGCUGUACGUGGCAAAGACUCUCACAUGGCAGGGGGAGGAAAGGUGACUUUUUGUCCUCUGGGAGAAAGCUUGUCUCAGCACAGCUGAGGCUGUUGGGUUCUUCAGAGGCCAUGGCCAUCAAGGGCAUAGCUCCUUCCAGUCAGCAGUCAGGUUUCUAGACAGCUAGAGCAUAGAGUCUGAUCAAAUCCAUCUCCCUCUUACUCCCUUCUGCCUGCUUGACCUUUCCCUCCUUGUGUUUUUUCCAUCUCUAUCUUCCAGGAUCACGUGAAGUUGCUAAAAUGGCUUCUACUGCACGUGGCACAAGCUGAGUCCUCCCCAGGGUCAAGCAGUCCCUCACUCAAGACAAGCUGUGCAAGCCCCUUACGUCCCCUUGGUGCUUUUUCAACAUAUCAGCUGCACAAGCUGAGUUCUGCCCCUGUCUGUAAUUCCCAAAAGAAUUAAAAAGAUAAAUCUCAGUGUUUCUCAGCCUCUGUUCUGAACUCUCCUGCAUGUCCCUGUCCUGCUACCUUUGCUCUGAUUAUCUCCUUGGUACACAUUUCUCCAUAGUCUCUUAAUGUCUGCUACUCAAAUUUUGCUCUUAGUUGUUACAUUUGCCUCUGUCUCCCUCUGUCCUGGCUUUGGCUUGCUGCUUCUGGAGAAGAUUUACUUGAAUAGAGGUACUGGCAACAUCCCCUCCAUUUGGCAAGCUCAGAGCUGACCCCUUUUAGGAUUUUGUUCUGGGAGGCAUCUCUCUCAUGCAUGUUUCCUAGGACGGUUCUAGAUAAUCUUUUCUUAGUGAUAAUAAGAGAGAAUUGUCACCGUGGAUAAAAACAGAACCUCCCUAACUCAAUUUAAUAUCAACAAGAAUUUAAGAAUACAGAAAUCAUUCAUAGAUCUGAACAAAUAGCAAAACAUAUAGCCAACAGGUUAUCUGGAUGGCAAAGAAUCUUCUAGAGUAACUCCUGACUUGCUCUAACCAAAAAUUCAUAUGGAUAUAGCAAAAUAAUUGAGGCAAAGGCAGGCUUAGUGACAACUAACAAAAUCUUUCUCACUGUACAACAAUUAUGCUUUUUAUUUUUCCCUCAAAAGACAGCGUUGUUUUUACAAAGGAUCCGUUCAGAGUUAUAUUUCAUUUGGCCGUCUUAAAGGUAAAAAUGGUUAUGGACAAAUAUGCAUAUUUUAUGACAAUUGUUUUUUCUCCAGAGAAAUGGCUCCUUUGAUGUCCAGGGAGAAUGGAGUUAAAUGUUGCUUUGAACUAGUUUCUUUGUUCUGCAGGCUAUUGUGCUAGUUAUACCGCACACAUGAAAUUCUGGAGGGAACAUAUCCUAAUGCAUAAGAGCCUGGGUGCUGGAAUUAGCUGCCUGGAUUUGAAUUCUGGUUUUGCAGUUUUCCAGCUGCAUGGCGUUUGCUAAGUUACUUCAGCAAUGUUAUCUUCAUCAUCACCCUUUGUCAAAUAAUAGGAACCACCUUGGAGGAUUUUGCGAGGAUACAACGCAAUUCUUCAGGUCGAGAGCUCAGAAUAAUAUUGCAAAACAGUCAGUACUCAAUCUCUUAUAGUCAUUUUUAGUUUGUAAGAAGCCUAACAACUUUUACGAGGUGUAAGGAAGACCACAGGCUCUGUAGUCACACAGUCUUCUGCCAUUACCUACGUGUGUGAUUUCUGUCGAGUCUCUUCUUGGAGUCUCAGUUGCUUCAUCUAUAAAACGGUGAUAAUUGUACAUAUUUCGCAAAGGCUCUUAAUUGAGAUAAUACAUGUGAAGCUUUAGGCACAAAAUAGAUGUGUAGUAAAUGUUAGUUCCUUUUCACUUUCCCCAUUACUGGAAAACCAGUAGAAUAAAUAGAAGAGGGAGGAAAUGGGGGCAUUAAUAAGGAAAUGGCUUUAUAGUAAGCUAUGCACAUGAUGGAUUAGUUAAGGAGUGGCUUGGAACCAACUUGCCAGGUAGGAGUUCCAACUUUGACCUUGGUCUUCCUUUCCUGCUGUACCUCUGGGUGUCUCUAUGCUGGGCACUCUCCUGGGAGUGAGAUGGGGAAUUACAACCAGUGAGUCUUUUUCCAUAACCUGCAGGACCCUCAGAAAUCUGCCUAAACAACCCCCAAGGAUUCGGUGCAAGGAGUAUCUCUGCAUGUGUGUCUGUUGUUUGUUUCUUUGUGUCUAUGUCCCCAUGAGAUGGUGCCCAGCAUUGAUGUUGCAAUCUCGGCCUCUGUAAUCAGACAGAUCUGGGUUGAAAUUUCCCCUGGAACACCUUGAUAUGUGUGACCUAGAGGAAGUUACUUAACUGCAACUGAAAAAUAGAGAUGAUAGUAGUAUCUUUCACACAGGGUUGAGAUGAGGAUUAAUUGAGGAGAAAGACCGAAAAUCAUAACGGUUGGCAUGCACAAGUGCUGGGUCAAAGAUGACUGCUCAGAUUACCACAGUCAUUAUUAAUCUCUCUAUAGAUGGGCAGACAGAUAUAGGUCUGCGGCUGUGGUGUACACGUGGUUGAGUGGGUGCCUACCUCCCUUUUUCUAAGAGAACAGGAAGAAGAUCUGCAGACCCUUCUCUCCAUAUCUCCUGUGAAGGCAUCGGAAAGCUCUUCCCACACUGAGAAAUUGCAUCUAUGGAUCUCCAUUUUCUUGUCUGCAGAAUAGAAUGAUAAGAUUUAUCUGUGAAACUUAUUCAUGGAUGAAUAUGACUGUGCCUUUGUAGAACGAAAGACAGUGACCAGCAUUCAUUUCAAGCAUUCAACAAAUAUGAACUAUGCUCCUACUGUAUGCCUGGCACUGUGUAGGCUCUGUGGGAUGACAGCAGAGAAGAGGUCCCCUGCUCUCUUGGAACUUGGAAUUGCUGGAAUGUAAUAAUGUGUCUAGAGAACAUGAAAAUUUUCCCUUCUUCUUUCAUCACUUUGUAUGGGAAUGCUUUAAAAUUUUUGGUAGCUUUGGCCUCUUAAUGUCUGUACUCUGCCCACAGGUGAAUUUCAAGCUCAGUGUGCCCUAGGCAAGUCAGUUAUUUUAAAAUCAGGCAGUUGACAGAGGUGGUUUCAAGCCUGAGGAAGUCCUGGGGUGGAAAGGAGCACAGGGAGCAUUACAAGGAGGGUUCUUUUGUGGGAACAUUUGGGGAGCUGCCAAGUUUCUAAUAAGAAAUGAAUUUGCCUUUAUUCAAAGAAGGAAAUGGUUCUUUCCCUCACAAAAGAGGAAGGAAAGGCUGUCCUUCUGGCUGUGGUUACCAGCACUGCCUUUCUGACUGGAGGGUCAUUAGGGUGAGGAACAAACGUGAAAAUGCAGGCCAAGCCUUUAAGAACCUCCUAGAUAAGUGAUCAUGAAAGGUAAAAAAGUGUAUGUUACUAGAAGGAAAGAACCAGAACACAAAAAAGGGCAUUGCAGCAUAGCAUUGCACAUGAAAUGUGCAGUAUGGGUCGGUAAGUUAAAGAGAAGGGCUGGACAAGUACUACUUAUACUUAAAUCCUGGAUAUGGCAGAGAUGGCUGGAGUUCCGCACCUCUCUCUGCCCCUCUGUAUUUCCCAGAGUUCCCUGCAGUUAGGUUGGGGCUCAUGUGACUGGGUUCUGGCCAAUGGGGUGUGGAUGGAAGUGACUAAUUUGAUUCCUUGAGCACCUCCUUAGGUGCCAGCUCUCAGUCUCAGCCUUGGGGACUCAGUAGGAAACACAACUAACAACUCAUGGUGCUUAUAUAUUCUGAGAUGGUGGGACAGACAGUGAACAUGAUGAAUAAGUAAAAUGUAUAGUAAACUAUAUGAAUAAGUAUAAUAUAUA